UACGUAGGGUGCAAGCGUUAAUCGGAAUUACUGGGCGUAAAGCGUGCGCAGGCGGCUUUGCAAGACAGAUGUGAAAUCCCCGGGCUUAACCUGGGAACUGCAUUUGUGACUGCAUGGCUGGAGUGCGGCAGAGGGGGAUGGAAUUCCGCGUGUAGCAGUGAAAUGCGUAGAUAUGCGGAGGAACACCGAUGGCGAAGGCAAUCCCCUGGGCCUGCACUGACGCUCAUGCACGAAAGCGUGGGGAGCAAACAAG
rnacentral:rRNA from 1 species